rnacentral:lncRNA from 1 species
AAGAUUCAUGUUAUGUUUUCAAAGACUAAAUUGUUUGGCUAAUAUUUCAUUCUCUCUAUUUGUCAAUUUGUAUUAUUGUUGGUUUUUCCUUAAAAUAGGACGUAAAUGCAGAUUAUCAAACUAUUCAUUAUUAGAUGUUUAGAAAUAACCAUAGCACAAAAUUCAUGGAUAGAUGUUCUUGGAAAAUGUGAUGACAUUUACAUGUCAAACCAAUGUGCAAAAAUUCCUCAAAUAGAAGCAUUUUGUACAUCAAAUAGUUGCAUCUGCUACCAGUCAUUAAAUUCACUGUUCUUGGAUCUAAAAACCACCUUGGGUGUAUAGACACAUGUAUUGAUUCGGAAAAAAUUUAAUACAUUGAAUAAAAUGUAUCUAAUGCUUAUGGUUGUUUUGGAUGGUGUUGGUUUGUUGCUGAAAAAUGUCACCUGGAUAGAAUAUAAAAAAAUUAUUUGGCAUUUCAAAUUAAUCUGUUCCAUAAAUUUGAAAAAAAAUAAAAGAAAAUAUUUUACAUUACACCAUCUCUUGGGUAUUUUUCAAGAAUAACUUAAUAUCAUUAUUUAAUAUUAUUAGUACUAGUUUAAUAUACCCCAAACAAUGGAAGAGUAAUUUUAAACCCAAAUUUAUCAUUAGCCAAUUUUCUAAAACACAAGUAAACAAUUAGGUCUAAAUUGUAAUUUGAUUUAAUCAACUUGCACAAUUUAUAUCAUUUUUCAAAAAGUUCUUGAAGCUUCUCUAAUAUUAUACUUUAUUUUAAAAAAUAGAAUGUAUGAAACAUAUUGUAUAAUGAAGUUUUAGUAGAAUUUCCUAACCUGCUUAAAUUAUAAUGAUUCCUAAAUAUACGCUUUUGUCUUCUUUUUUUACAUUGUUUUCAAGUGUUGAUAUAACUAUAGACAUGAAACGGUAUGUAAAGAAGUUCACAACUAUUCACUUGAAUCUUGAUCAUUCUUCUCAUGGAAAGCUUUAAACUAUUUUUAAGUUUAGAGUAGAAAAUUGUGCACCAAAUAGAAGUGAGAGAGAAGAGAUUGUCUUAACAGGAACAAUUUUUUCUACUAAUUUGGAAGCUAAAGUACAAAAGACAAUGCCUCGUUAAUUAUAGAUUAAAGUAAGUGAAUCUCUUACACUAUCUUCCUAAAAAUCAUUCAUUGUAAGGAUCAUCAUAUAUAUAUAUAUAUAUAUAUAUAAAAGCCUUGUCAAAUUUGAUCCACUGCUGAUAUUCGAUUUAUUCCAGUGUUAAAAAUUUUAAAUGUUACUUUUUUUUUAAUUUUAUACCCAACCUCGCAUUUCUAGUUAAAUAUAAAUCAAACUAAGAGUACUGUGUACAUAGUUCAACAACCAGUUUUGCGAAAUUAAAAGUAUCGAACAUUUUGAAAGUAAUGCUGAUGGUAACAAUAACAACUAUUGGGUGAAGUUUACUAAACAAAAAUGCAUGCAAUCUAUUUGCAUAUAUAUAUAUAUAUAUAUAUAUAUAUAUUUACCUAAGACCUCUGUGAUUUUCAUUAUCAUCCAAAUCCACAAGAUUCAUAAGAAGAACGUUCAAUAAAAAUAAAAUUGCCACAACUAUAACUAUAUUAAA